CCUACGGGAGGCUGCAGUGAGGAAUAUUGGUCAAUGGUCGCGAGCCUGAACCAGCCAAGCAGCGUGAAGGAUGACGGUCCUACGGGUUGUAAACUUCUUUUAUCAAGGAACAAAGUGAGGGACGCGUCCCUUGUUGAAUGUACUUUAAGAAAAAGGAUCGGCUAACUCCGUGCCAGCAGCCGCGGUAAUACGGAGGAUGCGAGCGUUAUCCGGAUUUAUUGGGUUUAAAGGGUGCGUAGUGGGGUUGUUAAGUCAGUUGUGAAAGUCUGGGGCUCAACCGGAGAAUUGCAGUUGAUACUGGCAGUCUUGAGUACAGGAGAGGUAGGCGGAAUGCGUGGUGUAGCGGUGAAAUGCUUAGAUAUCGCGAAGAACUCCGAUUGCGAAGGCAGCUUGCU
rnacentral:rRNA from 1 species